UAGUUGCUACCAUUAAGUUGAGCACUCUAGUGAGACUGCCACGGUUAACGUGGAGGAAGGUGGGGAUGACGUCAAAUCAUCAUGCCCCUUAUGUCUAGGGCUACACACGUGCUACAAUGGUGAAUACAAAUAGAUGCAAUACCGCGAGGUGGAGCCAAACUAUAAAAUUCAUCCCAGUUCGGAUUGUAGUCUGAAACUCGACUACAUGAAGCCGGAGUUGCUAGUAAUCGCAAAUCAGCAUGUCGCGGUGAAUACGUUCCCGGGCCUUGUACACACCGCCCGUCACACCAUGAGAGCUGGUAACACCCGAAGUCCGUGAGGUAACCGUAAGGAGCCAGCGGCCGAAGGUGGGAUUAGUGAUUGGGGUGAAGUCGUAACAAGGUAGCCGUAGGAGAACCUGCGGCUGGAUCACCUCCUUUCUAGGGA
rnacentral:rRNA from 1 species